UGCUGGCUUCAGCAGCAAUAUACUAAAACUGGAAUUAUCCAAAAAGCUAAGUGUGGCCCCUACACUAGAAUGGCAUGAAAUUUGUGAAAGCACUCCAUAUUUUA
ensembl:snRNA U6 U6 spliceosomal RNA